CAGGACACAUGAACAUUGACCAUUCGAACGCACAUUGCGGCCCAUAG
rnacentral:rRNA from 1 species